CUCCAUAGUGUAGGGAGGGUACCCUAGUAAUGUAGGAUUUUUCAGCCCUUGUAUUUUAGGGCAUCUAGACUAGCUUUUGUAUUAGGAGUAGUUUUGUAAUUUCACAUGCUUUAAGUGAAUAUUUGAUGUGUGUUGGGAGAUAAAUUUAAUUGAAUUGGGAGAAGCCCAAUCCAAUUAAAUUUUAGAGGGGGAGAUGAACAUUUACUUGCUACACCCCAUUGCCACAUCAUAUAGUCACACUUUGUAUAUAUCCUUUAUGCUUUACAUGUCUAAUGACACCUAAGCACACUUAGUGGAGAAUCUUGGACUUGAUCUUGGAUUAGUUGGUUGAAUCAUAGCUAAAAUUCCCUAAUCAUAAUUAUCGAAAUUUUGGCACCACCAAUUCAAAUUCAAGUGAAAUUUGAAUAGAAAUUUAAAUUUUUCUCCAAUUUUGUGUAACACUUAAGCUAUAAAUAGAAGCCUUGUGUGUGCAUUUUUUUCAACUUUAAUCAUUUGAGAAUUACAUUUCAAAGUUUAGACCUCAUUUGAGGCAUAAAAUUUUGUGUUCCUUCUCUCCUUCUCCCUCCACUCAUCUUCUCCUACCUUCAAGCUCUUAUCCAUGACUUCCUAUGAUGGUGAACUUGUUCUUAACUCAUCUUCUCCUUCAAGUGGUGUCUCCAAUCAUCUUUCUUCCUUCUCCAUUCCUCUGUCAUUGAUCUUCAAGAAGCAAAGGACUUCAUUGAUGAAGAAGAUUCAAUGCCUACAAGCUCCACAUGGAGUUACAUCAAUUUGAUUAAUUAAUGAGAUGAAAUAUAGGAAAUAAACUGAAAUGAAAAAGGGAAGAACAAACAUAGAAUCUCUAAAAUAAGAGUUAGCAUAUAAUAACUCAAGCAAAAGAUCAAGCUUCUUAGUUGAUACUUGAAACUAAUUUAAAAGUAAAACUCUCUUUGAUGGUCAACAAAAAUUCUAACCCUGAAACAUGAAAAUAUUGAGAAACAGGACUAAACCCAUUUCUUGUUUUAGCUCUUUGUCAGAUCGACAUUUUUAAAAAGAAAACAAAUAACCCCGAACAAUCUGGUAAAGUAUAGAGGUUAAAAAAUAACAGUAUAAAAAUCAUUUUUACUUCUUUCUCCAACACAAGCCUUAACUGAUAUACUUGAAGCAAUAUGGGGUUACUUUGUUCAUAUUACAAAAUUAUACAAUUGUGAUACCUAGAGACCUAACUCACACAACUGAAUCUUGAGGACUAAAAUAACACAUUUAUAUUACUUGAAGAUCCAAUUAACACAAUUAAAACUUAGAAAACUAAAAUCACAUAAUUGUAAUACAUGAUAUUAAAAAUAAAAUAAAGCCAAUUUCAAAUUUACUAGUUUGAUCAUAGAAAAGAAAAGCUCUCUCUUAGGAGUUUGCCCACCAUUAUGCUACUUUAAUUUAACCACUCCCCACUUGCCAAUAGCCUCCUUCAGGUGGAAUGAAAAUUUUGUUUUGCCCAGCUAAACAAUAAUUAGUACAGCCACAUAUAUAGACUAUUAGUUUCGUGCAAAGCAAAUCAAGCUUUGAAUCUCAUGAGAACCUGCGAUCCUUGUACAUGUUUUUUAAAUUUGCAAAGGUAUAUUGAUGAUGGUACAAGGGGUAUCAACCCAUAUACAAAAUAAAGAGCAAAACAUAGCAAGUUUGGCAUGUUUAGCAACUAUUUAAAUCAAAAGAGGACCUAAAUAGAUGCUAAUCACGAUCCUUGUACAUGUGAUUUCCUAGUUCUAAGAAAAUAUAAUAUUAAUGAGUAGAACUUAAACAUCAUAAAAUUGACCUUAAUUUCUGUUACUUGGUAACUAGUACUACUUGUUUAGAACAACGUACCUUUAUUUAGCCAAUGGGUGGACCCUCUCGACUACCUAACUAAACACCAAAUAAUGCAUUGUUUUUUAACUUCGAAAUUUUGAAUGACUUUUAAAGAAGGGUAGCUACUUACUUUGUUUUCGUAAAGUGAACUAUAUAUAUAUAUAUAUAUAUAUAUGGCCCAGAUGCUUGAGGCUAAGGUACUAAAACAGACUAAACUUUAAUUCAA
rnacentral:lncRNA from 1 species